AUAUUUCCCAUCCCAAAGAUUACAGUGAGAUUUCCAAAGCAAUACACUGAGGGCUGAGAUGCUCAUGAAAUCUGGGGGUUAUGAAAAACCUCUGCAGAGUGCAGCCCAAUCUUGCUAUGCAUUUUGGUGAUCAGGCUGAGCAGGUGCAAGGAGCUGGGUGGUUUGGUGAUUGCAGAGGGGCUGCAGCUGGGUUGCUGCUGGCUCAGGGUGCCUCCCUGGUGGGAUUACUUUGAUGUGGCACAGGGAUACAGCAAGUGAAGCGUAGCUGCAGCUCUUUUGGGGAGCACUGGAGAACAGCCUUGUCCUCCUGGUCUGGAAGGUCAGGCAUGUGCCGGCUGCUUGAUGGAGGGGAUGAGAGCAGAGCAGCAGGCUGGAGGAGCUGCCUCACACCGUGCCACGUCCACCUGCCUUGAGAUCAAAGUGGAAUGCAUGGUGAAGAUGUGCAGUGUGGAGGUGGUGCUGAGAAAUUGCUGCCUGGCUGUACGACACAUCCACCACUUACCUGGAUAUAUUUGGACUCUCCAUAACUGAAAGCUUU